GCGGAAGUAGUUCAGUGGUAGAACACCACCUUGCCAAGGUGGGGGUCGCGAUUUCGAACCUCGUCUUCCGCU
rnacentral:tRNA from 1 species